AUGUUGGUGGAAAGUUUGACAAUUAGGAAUUGUGAUGAAUUAAAACACAUAACAGAAUUUGGAGAUUAUGACAGUGGCAUCAAUAAUUGGGGUAGUAUAUUCCCAAAACUGAAAGAGCUAUACAUUGAAGGUUGUGCGAAAUUGAAAUACAUGUUUGGACGCGACACUCCUGAUCAACAAAAUCACAUGAAGAUUCUGCUUCAUCUUCCGAAAUUGAAAUUUCUAACUCUUCGCAAUCUGCCACGUUUAGUCGCGAUGUGUCCCAAAAAAUAUCGUAUAACAUUUCCUUCUUCGGUGAUACUUGAACUAAUAAAAUGUCUGCGAGCAACUAUCAAAUCUAUUGGUGUUUUCAAAAAAGUUUCGACGUCUGAAUCUCUCGGACAAUACAAUUUUAAAGGAAUAUGGUGA